UAUCAACUUUGGAUAACCGUUUAUAUUAUCGGUUCUUUCAACGUUUAAACUAUAAUAUUUUGUCUGAUAAAAACUUAAAUAAUUAGAUUGCAAUCAUGAGAUGAAUGAUGGUUGGAUAAAUCUUUAUAAAAGAAUUAGGCUUAGUUUGGUAUUGAGGUUUAAUCUAAGUUGAGGAAAAAGCAUAUAGAAAUAUGCUUCUGCGUUCUCCGAUAGGACAGAAAAUAUAUCUUAACCGACUCAUUGCGAUAUGCGGAACGUAAUAUUACGUAAGAAAACAAAUAUGAUAUUUUUCCAAUGUAUUUUCUCAUCGCAUGUAACGCAAUUUCCUUGCAAACCCAAACGAAUUUUAAUAAUAUUAUUAAAAUAUAACUGAUCUUGAUAUUAACAAAUAAAGAAACUGAAUUUGGAUUCUAGUUUUAGU
rnacentral:lncRNA from 1 species